GACGAACGCUGGCGGCGUGCUUAACACAUGCAAGUCGAACGGAAAGGCCUUUUCGGCGUUACUCUAGUGGCGAACGGGUGCGUAACACGGGGGUGAUCUGCCCUGCACUCUUUGUUAAGCCUGGGAAACUGGGUCUAAUUACGGAUAUGACCGCUCUUUCGUGUGUGUGGUGGCAAGUUUUUUGGGUGUAGGGUGAGCCGGCGGCCUAUGAGCUUGUUGUUGGGGUAAUGGCCUACCAAGGCGGACGCGGGUAGCCGGACUGAGCAGUUGGUCGGCCACAUUGGGACUUAGAGGCGGCACAGGCGCCGAAGGGAGGAAGAAGGGGGGAAGAUUGAACAAGGGGCGCCAGGCGGAUGAAGAGAGGCCGCGGGGGGGAAGACGGUCUUCGGGGUGUAAAAAACCUUCGGCAGGGAAGAAGCGUGUUGUGACGGUACCUGGAGAAGAAGCACCGGCUAACUACGUG
rnacentral:rRNA from 1 species